UUGACCUCGAAUCAGGUAGGGAUACCCGCUGAACUUAAGCAUAUCAAUAAGCGGAGGAAAAGAAACCAACCGGGAUUACCUCAGUAACGGCGAGUGAAGCGGUACCAGCUCAAAUUUGAAAUCUGGCUCCUCUGGAGUCCGAGUUGUAAUUUGUAGAAGAUGCUUUGGGUUGUGGGUUCGGCCUAAGUUCCUUGGAACAGGACGUCAUAGAGGGUGAGAAUCCCGUAUGUGGCCGAGGCCCGCGCCUAUGUAAAGCUCUUUCAACGAGUCGAGUUGUUUGGGAAUGCAGCUCAAAAUGGGUGGUAAAUUUCAUCUAAAGCUAAAUAUGGGCCAGAGACCGAUAGCGCACAAGUAGAGUGAUCGAAAGAUGAAAAGCACUUUGGAAAGAGAGUUAAACAGUACGUGAAAUUGUUGAAAGGGAAGCGCUUGCACCCAGACUUGGGCGCUGCUGAUCACCUUGCGGUCUCCGCGAGUGCACUCGACAGCGCACAGGCCAGCAUCGGUUCGGGUGGCUGGAUAAAGGCCGUAGGAACGUAGCUCCCUUCGGGGAGUGUUAUAGCCUACGGUGCCAUGCAGCCCAGCCGGACCGAGGACCGCGCCUUCGGGCUAGGAUGCUGGCGUAAUGGGUGUAAGCGACCCGUCUUGAAACACGGACCAAGGAGUCUAACAUCUAUGCGAGUGUUUGGGUGGCAAACCCAUACGCGGAAUGAAAGUGAACGUAGGUGAGAACCCCUUUGGGGCGCAUCAUCGACCGAUCCUGAAGUCUUCGGAUGGAUU
rnacentral:rRNA from 1 species